GAUGAACGCUGGCGGCGUGCCUAAUACAUGCAAGUCGAGCGAACGGACGAGAAGCUUGCUUUUCUGAUGUUAGCGGCGGACGGGUGAGUAACACGUGGAUAACCUACCUAUAAGACUGGGAUAACUUCGGGAAACCGGAGCUAAUACCGGAUAAUAUUUUGAACCGCAUGGUUCAAAAGUGAAAGACGGUCUUGCUGUCACUUAUAGAUGGAUCCGCGCUGCAUUAGCUAGUUGGUAAGGUAACGGCUUACCAAGGCAACGAUGCAUAGCCGACCUGAGAGGGUGAUCGGCCACACUGGAACUGAGACACGGUCCAGACUCCUACGGGAGGCAGCAGUAGGGAAUCUUCCGCAAUGGGCGAAAGCCUGACGAAGCAACGCCGCGUGAGUGAUGAAGGUCUUCGGAUCGUAAAACUCUGUUAUUAGGGAAGAACAAAUGUGUAAGUAACUGUGCACAUCUUGACGGUACCUAAUCAGAAAGCCACGGCUAACUACGUG
rnacentral:rRNA from 1 species